rnacentral:rRNA from 1 species
CCUACGGGAGGCAGCAGUGAGGAAUAUUGGUCAAUGGACGAGAGUCUGAACCAGCCAAGUAGCGUGAAGGAUGACUGCCCUAUGGGUUGUAAACUUCUUUUAUAUGGGAAUAAAAUGUUCCACGUGUGGGAUUUUGUAUGGACCAUAUGAAUAAGGAUCGGCUAACUUCGUGCCAGCAGCAGCGGUAAUACGGAGGAUCCGAGCGUUAUCCGGAUUUAUUGGGUUUAAGGGGAGCGUAGGUGGAUUGUUAAGUCAGUUGUGAAAGUUUGCGGCUCAACCGUAAAAUUGCAGUUGAAACUGGCAGUCUUGAGUACAGUAGAGGUGGGCGGAAUUCGUGGUGUAGCGGUGAAAUGCUUAGAUAUCACGAAGAACUCCGAUUGCGAAGGCAGUUCACUGGACUGCAACUGACACUGAGGCUCGAAAGUGUGGGUAUCAAACAGGAUUAGAUACCCGAGUAGUC